rnacentral:rRNA from 1 species
UAGGGAAUCUUCCACAAUGGGCGAAGCCUGAUGGAGCAACACCGCGUGAGUGAAGAAGGGUUUCGGCUCGUAAAGCUCUGUUGUUAAAGAAGAACACGUAUGAGAGUAACUGUUCAUACGUUGACGGUAUUUAACCAGAAAGUCACGGCUAACUACGUGCCAC